rnacentral:tRNA from 1 species
GCGAGUCUGGCCGAGUGGUUAAGGCGUUGUGUUUAGGUUUCCGCUUAAUCCGCAAUGGGCAUCGCCCGCGUAGGUUCGAUCCCUACGGCUCGCA